CUUCUCCAGCUACUCGUUUGAGAGCCGGUGGCGUUCCGGAGGUUUCUCCCUCGUUAUCCCCCUGCCUUUCACCUGAGGAGAGGCUCUGACUGUCUCUCUCUCUCUGGCGUCUGCGCAGCGGGGAAGUAGUGAGAAACAAUCAGAGUACAGAGUAUUUUAAUCUUUAGGGGAUCAAGAUGUCAGAUGCAAACAAAGCUGCCAUUGCAGCAGAAAAGGAAGCUCUGAACUUGAAGUUACCCCCCAUUGUCCAUCUCCCAGAAAACAUAGGCGUUGAUACACCAACACAAAGUAAGCUGCUAAAAUACAGAAGAUCCAAGGAGCAGCAGCAGAAAAUUAAUCAGUUAGUAAUUGAUGGAGCCAAAAGAAAUUUAGACAGAACACUGGAUAAAAGAACACCUCUAUUACCACCACCUGAUUAUCCUCAAACUAUGACCAGUGAAAUGAAAAAAAAAGGAUUCAACUAUAUUUAUAUGAAGCAAUGUGUAGAAAGUAGUCCUUUAGUACCUAUUCAGCAGGAAUGGCUGGAUCACAUGUUAAGGCUGAUACCUGAGUCUUUAAAGGAAGGGAAAGAAAGAGAAGAACUUCUUGAAAGUCUCAUAAAUGAGGUGUCAAGUGACUUUGAAAACAGCAUGAAGAGAUAUUUGGUGCAGAGCGUUCUUGUGAAACCACCAGUUAAAUCGCUUGAAGAUGAAGGAGGUCCUUUACCUGAAUCUCCUGUAGGCCUAGAUUAUUCUAAUCCUUGGCAUUCUAGCUAUGUGCAGGCAAGAAAUCAAAUAUUCUCUAAUUUGCACAUUAUUCAUCCAACUAUGAAAAUGUUACUGGACCUUGGUUAUACAACAUUUGCUGAUACAGUUUUGUUGGACUUCACAGGAAUUAGAGCUAAAGGUCCAAUUGACUGUGAAUCACUGAAAACUGAUCUAUCAAUACAAACUAGAAACGCAGAAGAGAAGAUAAUGAAUACAUGGUAUCCAAAGGUUAUAAAUCUCUUUACCAAGAAGGAGGCACUAGAAGGUGUUAAACCUGAAAAAUUGGAUGCAUUUUAUAGCUGUGUUUCCACACUUAUGUCAAAUCAGCUAAAGGAUCUAUUAAGGAGAACUGUAGAAGGAUUUGUAAAACUCUUUGACCCAAAAGAUCAACAAAGGCUGCCAAUAUUUAAGAUAGAAUUGACAUUUGAUGACGACAAAAUGGAAUUUUAUCCUACCUUUCAAGAUUUGGAAGAUAAUGUCUUGAGUUUGGUAGAACAAAUAGCCGAAGCUCUGCAGAAUGUCCAAACAAUCCCCUCUUGGCUAUCAGGAACUUCAACACCAGUAAAUCUUGACACAGAACUUCCUGAACACGUGUUACACUGGGCUGUUGAUACACUGAAGGCAGCAGUACAUCGGAACUUAGAAGGUGCAAGAAAGCAUUAUGAGACAUAUGUUGAAAAAUAUAAUUGGCUCCUUGAUGGGACUGCAGUUGAGAAUAUAGAGACUUUUCAGACAGAAGAUCAUACUUUUGAUGAAUAUACAGAGGAGCUGGAUUGCUGGGUGGUAUGGGAAGUGUAUUUUUAACUUUUUAAGAAACUGUUAAGCCAGGCAUAGUAGCUUGCACCUGUAGUCUCAGCUACUCAGGAGGCUGAGGUGAAAGGAUUACUGGAGCCUAGGAGUUCGAGUCUGCAGUGAGUUAUGAUCAUGCCACUGCACUCCAACUUGAGUGACAGAGCAAAACUCUUUGUCUCAAAAAACAGAAGAAACUUAAAUUUCUUUCAAAGUUGUUAUACCAUUUACAAUCUCACCAGCAGUGUAUGAGAUUUCCAGUUCUUCCACAUCCUUUUCAACCUUUGGGCUUAUCAGUCUUUUACUUUUUACUAUUGUUUUAUUUUUUCCCACUGCACUUUCACAUCUAGAUUAUCAGUCUUUUUAAUUUCAUGUGUAUAUUGGUAUCCCACUGUGGUUUUAAUUUGCAUUUCCCUGAUGACUAAUGAUGUUUAGCAUCUUUUAACAUGUCAUGUUCCAUCUGUGUAUCUUUUUACUAAUAAAAAUAAAGUGUCUUUUGUUUGUACAUUUU
rnacentral:sRNA from 1 species